AGUAAUGAAGUAAUUUAUUACAAUUAGUUUCGACCUAAUCUUAGAUAUAAUUUUUAUCCUUUACUU
rnacentral:tRNA from 1 species